GCAAUCAGCUAAGCCUAUUCAAGAAGAAAUUGCAGCUGUAAGUGAUUCGCCUGACAGCACGCCCAAGAAAGAUAAACCAGCAAAUGUUGAAGUUACUAAAGUUACUCGACCUCAAGGAAGAUACAAGAAAAGAGAGGGGGGGGA